rnacentral:rRNA from 1 species
UACGUAGGGUGCGAGCGUUAAUCGGAAUUACUGGGCGUAAAGCGUGCGCAGGCGGUUCGUUAUGUCCGAUGUGAAAUCCCCGGGCUCAACCUGGGAACUGCAUUUGUGACUGCACGGCUGGAGUGCGGCAGAGGGGGAUGGAAUUCCGCGUGUAGCAGUGAAAUGCGUAGAUAUGCGGAGGAACACCGAUGGCGAAGGCAAUCCCCUGGGCCUGCACUGACGCUCAUGCACGAAAGCGUGGGGAGCAAACAGG